GCUUUUGGCUACUAUUAAAGUAAUAGAUCUUAUUUGAUCUUGAAAGUUAAGCAGAGUCAGCCCUGGUUAGUGCUUGGAUGGGAAGCUGCCAAUGAAUACCAGGUGCUGCAGGCU
rnacentral:rRNA from 1 species